rnacentral:lncRNA from 1 species
GUUCGAGAAAAAAGUGGAAUUAUGAGAGUACUUGAAGAGGUACUUCACAAACUCUAGUUUUUUGUGGAACUGCUUCAUGGUGGAAUUUAUAGAGUAGAGUUCAUGAAGCAGUCCCAAACACUCUUUAACUUAUAGUUUUAUUUAUUUAUUUGUUUGUUUGUUUGUUUAUUUAUUAUUUAUUUAUUUUUGAAGGGAGAUAGUAUUACAGGCUCAUAACAUAGAUUAUAAACUAGGUAAGCGAGCCACAUGAGUUUUAUGGGGAUGAAACUCCUCUCUCAUUUUCACGACUAGGGCCAAUACUAUGAAUCACCA